UCGACAAAAUGGCAGCUAUCGGGAAACCGUAUUUUAGGUUUUAAUUUUUGACUACGAAUUUGUCAUUUUAUUGAACCUUAAAGACGACAUUAUUGACUUGAACGUGUGAGGUACAAUCUGUAGAGCGCAGAUUUCUGCUUACCACCCAUGAAUGCUCAGCCUACCGUCCCAUCCAUCUUCUGAAGGAAUCUUGAUCCUGGACAGUCUGCAGUAUAUACAUCUUGAAAUGGCUACUGUCCAUCAUCCAGCUAACACCUUGGACCUCCGGGUGCCCUUUCACUCCAAGGAGACAUCAUCAAGUUGCGGUAGAUGUGUCCAUCUAAUCUAUGAUAAACUGGACUGCGCCCUUACCUACAAACCCCACCUUAAAACCAAUGCAAAAAUACGCACCGGAAAUUACAUCAUCUAAAGUUGGCUGCUACUGUUUGGGGAGCUAAUUAUGCGGAAACACUCAGAGCCUCUGUCCUGGCAGAAUACUGUGUCCAUGUGUGGGCAAACUCAACACCACAUGACAAUGAGACUAAGCUCCGGAGCCAUCCCCUCUACCAACAAUGAAUAGUUAACGGUUCUGUGCAAUAUCGCACCCCGGCCUUCACAUCCGACACCGGGCAGCAACUGGCAACUUCCUGCCUAGGAUGGCGACCAAGACACUCCCCACCUCCCAGGAUAUCAACCAUCCUCCCAGAUAGCAGCUACCAUCAAGGAAACUCUUUUGGACCCUGGAACAACUUAUGAUAGCUAGUUACCAACUUUGGCAGCAGGAAUGGGACAGGAGCAGCGCCCCACGAACAAGGAACUGAUCACCGACUCUACUGUUAGGAAUGGACCUCCCACGCAACCUCUGGACCUAGUUGCACUGGUUCUGAUCUAGCGGUGGACCCUGCAGGGCUACCAUCCACAGUUGGAUCAGCAUUGUGUCCCCUCUCGAUCUGCACCUGCGGAGCUGAGGAGAUGAUGAACAUCAUCAUAGAGAAGUGCCCUCUUCAGCAGUUCCAAGGCGGUGUCUCAGCACUUCAUCUCACAGAUGACCAGGCAGUGACGUGGCGAAUAACACGCGGGGAAACAGCUUUGAGGAGAGAGAUGUGUUUAUCUUGAAAUGGACUCUUGCAAGAAUCUGUGGAGAUGUUCACCUUCGUGUUAUCAUCAGAGGGGACUUUUUUCUAAAAGAGCUAAGAAUUCAAGACAUGGAAAACUUCAUUGAACAGCGACUUUGCAGCAGAUCAACCAGGUUGGUAGGGUAAG